GUCGUGCUAGCUCAGUGGUUAUGGCUUCGAGUUGCAGAUAAGAGGGUCGUGUGUUCAAAUCCCAGCAGCGCCA